rnacentral:lncRNA from 1 species
CGAGAUCGGUCGGGCAGGGGAGAUUUGGAUAAAUUAUGUAUCUAAUUUUUGAAAUAAGUCAGAUUUUUAAAAAUAAUUUUAAAUUAUAAAAAAAUAAAAUUUUAUUUUUAAAUUAUUAAAAAUAAUUUAAUAUUUUUUUCUGAUAUAAUUCGCAGGGCUUUCUCUCGUCGAGAAUCCGACGUGGCAAGUAUCGGUGCUUACGUGGUAUUAAAAUUUUUUAAAAAAUAUUGAUAUGGCAAAAUAAUGAUUUUUUUUUCAUCAUUUUUUUUUGAUUAUCUUUUAAUCUCUUUUUUUUUGAAGAGAAUGGGAUCAUGGAAGAAAGGAGGAUUUAGAAUGGAAAGAGAAAAUGAAACCGACACUGGCUCGAUGGAAGGCAUUGAGAGAAGAUGAUGGAAGAUAAGUGGAGGAGAAGAAUUGAGCAAAGAAGGAGGAUGAGAUCAUGAAGGAAAGAAAAAGAGGAUGAGAUCAUGAAGGAAAAAAUUUUUUCUUUUUUCUUUUUUUUUCCAUUGAGAUUCUGAGAAAGAAAAAAAAAGAGAAGAGAUGAGAGAUCUGAGGAGGAGGUAUAUAGGGAGAGUUCAAUGAGAUGAG